UCUAAAAAGGUUAUCGUAGUUGUUAUUUUAAUGAAAUAUUAUAGUAUAAAUUGUCAAUGUUAGAAGGAGCUUUAACGUUGUCGGUAGCGGCGUUGCGGUCGCCAUCUAGCUCGUCUUCAGAGGGAUGGGUGGGCUGGUGAGCACCAUGGAUCUAAUACAUCCAUGUUGAGCACACAUUAAUGUGCGGGUAGGAGGAGCAGGGAGACUGGGCUUGAGCUUGGUCUCCAACAUAGUGGUAGCAGAAAGAUAACACAAGACGAAGGUUACAGAGAGGAUGAUUCUUCCAUAUUAUAUAACUUUUUAAAAAACAUGUACACCUCAUCUUAAUGGUUACCUCUUACUAUAUUGCUUGUCAUUUUUCUUGAAUGCAUAUAGGCUCAGGAGAGUGAAGAAUGUAGAGAGGAUGAAAGGAGCAUUGAAGCUCAUAUCAAUGAAAUGUCUACAGAGAUGCUUAAGGUACACCCAGAUCUGAACUCUUUAAAGGGGAGAAUGAGACGAACCUAUGCAUACCGAAAGACCUUCAUGGCAACUGCCAAGGCAGAGGAAAUCAUCAAAAAGUUUCCCGCACUGAAGCUUCCUAAAAUAGUUGGUAUCUUCAAGCAUUGAAUUGACCAUAUUUAAUUGUAUGUGUAUUAUUUCAUUUAUGAUCAUCAAGUAUUUUGAGAUGACGCUUUUUAUCCCUCCUUACAGCUUCUGUGGGAGAUGAAGGAGCAAUUCCUUGUAGAAGCUGAUGAUCACAGAGCUGGAUCGAAUGGCAACGAAGAUGGUUCAAAGAGCAUCUAUGUGUGACUUAAAGGACUGCUGCCAGAGGGCAAUAAAUGCCUGCCUGGAUGAUUCAGUAAGACGAGGACUCAUUAGGGAUGCAGCAAUUCUACUGCUGCCUUCCAUUUUCAGAGAGGACUCAUCUUUUCUAUACACUCUACUGUAGGAGCCAAGCGUGCCUACUCCAGCAAUCAUGCUCCAUAACACACACGAGGGGAACCCUUUGCAGGCACAAAGGAUAACCCUAUACCUGGAUGGUAUACAGGUUUUGACUGAGGACAGCAGCAUGGACAAAUCAUAUGCUAUGAGUGCAUUAAUGUCACUCUAUAUUGUUUUUGCUGUCCAGUACCCAAAGGAACUGAGAAAAACUCUUAUUUUCAUUGAAAGAUUUGUGUUGGGGAUCAAGGACCACAGUGUUGUACCCAUUUCAGUGAAGAGACUAUACAACUGUGUCGGAAGUGGGGAGUAGUGAGUAGAUGUGUUGCAGCAUGGGAUUUCAUGCUUUAUGUUCUUGUUAAUGGUCAAAUUCCUGCUGCUGCCCUUUGUUUGUACAUAUAAAAAAUGAUUAAAAAAAAAAUCCCUUAUUUAAUACAUAUUUUGGACCAAUACAUUUUGUUUGAUUUUGGCAUAGUGACGUCUCUAGAUUUCCAUUAUUGUUACAAUACGUAACAUUUUGAGUACUUGUUACAUAACACUGAAAAGUAUUUCAACAUUAUUUAAAUCAAUGUGAAAACUUUGUGGGAUUCCCUCACUUUCUCAUGAUUCUGUUCCACUGUCACAAUUAGUACAUACAGUAUGUACACUGAUUCUUUUCAUUGGACCAUGCAUUAUUUUAUUGUUUGUAGAUAGCUUACAAUAAGGCGCAGUAAGUGCACCUUGGAUUGAUUGAACUAAAACUAUUUUGUGUCUCUUUCUGCCAUGUCACCAUUGCUGGAGAUUUAUUUACACAAAUUCACCUACUGAGGACAGCAUGAUGUGUCUGGCCUGUCAUGUUGCUGAUUCCACUGGACCUAUGCUGACUUUUGACCUGUUCUCCCCUGGGACCUACACAGCCUCUCCUGUUUUGUUGGACUAUCUUUAAAUAAAUGUUUUUCUCAUUAAAAUGUUUUGAAUGUUUGUUCAAUGUCAACAUGAUAAAUGACCACAAUAUAAUAUGAACUAAACUGAUCUGUAGAAUACAACAUGGUUCUUUAUAGAACCCUCAGAAGACAAGACGGUUAUCGGUGAAAACCUUUGAAAAGGGAUGUUUUUAGAA